UAGGGAAUCUUGCACAAUGGGCGAAAGCCUGAUGCAGCCAUGCCGCGUGGGGGAUGAAGGUCUUCGGAUUGUAAACCCCUUUUCUGAAGGAAGAACUGCCCGGGCAGGAAAUGGUCCGGGUUUGACGGUACUUCAGGAAUAAGCAACGGCUAACUCCGUGCCAGCAGCCGCGGUAAGACGGAGGUUGCGAGCGUUGUUCGGAAUUACUGGGCGUAAAGGGGGCGCAGGCGGAGCGGUCAGUCCGAAGUGAAAGCCCGGGGCUCAACCCCGGAAUUGCUUUAGAUACUGCCGGUCUAGAGUGCGUGAGAGGGAAGCGGAAUUCCAGGUGUAGCGGUGAAAUGCGUAGAUAUCUGGAGGAACAUCCGUGGCGAAAGCGGCUUCCUGGCACGUAACUGACGCUGAGGCCCGAAAGCGUGGGGAGCGAACGGGAUUAGAUACCCCUGUAGUCC
rnacentral:rRNA from 1 species